GUCUGUUAAGAGAUGGGAUGCAUACAGGUUUCCGAGAACCAAUUGCUUUCUUUAAUUUGUGUAAAAAAGGAAACUCUGUAUUCUUUGUUGUAUAUAGAUUCAUCAUGAGGUUAGAUCCUGAACUAGGCCUCAACUCAGUUAAGAAGGUUGCAUAUUCCAAAUAGUUAGUUCAUUGCAAGCCUUCUGAAACUGUGAAAACAAUUACAACCCG
rnacentral:misc_RNA from 1 species